AAGUUCUGCCCUAUGAUUAUUAAAUUAAAUGGCUGCAGUAUAUUGACUGUGCAAAGGUAGCAUAAUAAUUAGUCUUUUAAUUGAAGGCUUGUAUGAAUGAAUAGAUGAGAAGUUUAUUUUAUUAUUUUAAUAAUUUGAAUUUAAUUUUUAAGUUAAAAAGCUUAAUUGUUUUUUUGGGACGAGAAGACCCUAUAGAAUUUUAAUUUUUAAUAUGUAAUUAUUUUUUAGUUUAUUUAAAUUUUAUUUAUAUAUUAAUAAUUUUUGUUGGGGUGACAAAUAAAUUUAACUUUAUUUUUUGUAUUCAUUUAUUUAUGUUAUUUUGAUCCAUUAUUAAUUUGAUUAUAAGAUAAAAUUACCUUAGGGAUAACAGCGUAAUUUUUAUGGGGAGUUCAUAUUUAUAUAAAAGUUUGCGACCUCGAUGUUGAAUUA
rnacentral:rRNA from 1 species